rnacentral:misc_RNA from 1 species
AUUCGUAUUAUCAAUGUUCAGACAAUGCCGUGUUCCAUACGUGUUCAGUUAACCACUUGCGAGUCUUUGACUCGAAGCUUGUUUGAAAAACCAAAAAUGAUCCUUCCGCAGGUUCACCUACGGAAA